rnacentral:lncRNA from 1 species
UCCUGCUGUCCUCACUCUCAGGCAUCUUCUGCUCACUUAGAAGAAACAGAAUUAAAUGGGUGCCCAAGACAUUGUCACCAAGACAGCCUGGGACUGCACGGCUGGGGAUGCUGAGCUCCCUGCUGGAAUGUGAAGGCAAGCCCUGAGCUGCAGCUGCAGUGACACAGCCCCAGAGCUCAGGAAUCUGCGCGGACAUGCUCGGGAUGAAUUCCGAGGAGAUUCCAACAGGAAUUUUCAUGGAAUACACCCUGGAGAAGCUGUGCCAUCCCCGGAGGUGUCGAGGCCAGGCUGGACGGUGACUCGGGGCUGUCCCCUCCCUGCAUCCCACUGAGGGGAGCUCUAAUCCCAGCAAUGAGCCCUCAGCAUGCCCACGCUCGACUUUCUAAAAAGCAAGAAGAGCUCUUGUUCUCUGCAAACCACGCAGUUCCUGUUGACUACACGUGGAUUUGGCCCCACCAAGGCCCUCUGGCCUCACCAGGACCUGCCUGAAGGAUGGAAACCACAUCUAACCCCAGGAAAUCCCCAGGAAUGGUGGCAGAGCCUUUCAAGGGUCACGUUGUCUUCCAAAUAUCCGGGAACCUCAGGAAACCUUUUAAGAGGAGGAGGAGGAGGAGGAGGAGGAGGAGGAGCAAACCAUCACCAGGUGGUUUCCUUCCCCUGGAAGCGGAUGAGGAGGAGAAGAAAAGGUGAGACUGAAGAAAAUGGAGUGAAGGAAAUCCCAAUGCACUGGGGAUCCAUUCCCUGGGAAAACCAGUGUUCCCUGGGCCUGGAAACUGGGGAAUCAUUUCCUUGAAAGUGGGGAAUCAUUACCCUACUGGGAUGGAUCCUUGGUCAGGUUGGGAGGGAUCACUCCCACAGCUCCCAGGGGAAGCUGGGCUCUGCAAUUCCCAGAUUUUGGGAGGGAAAUGGAAUCACAGAGAGUCACAAGGCCACAGCUCCACCCAGGAUGUUCCUCUUCCUCAGCCCUUGGAAUCAGGGGUUCCUGACAAGCCUUGGAGAGGGCCAAGGCUAACAGAGAGGUGAAAUAUGGGAUCUGUCAGGAGUUUAAUUAAAGAGAGAACCAUUCCAGCCCCUCAGCUCGUUUAAAGCCCAGCUCAGGAGGCUCUUCUCUUCUCACAGGUAAUUAUCCAAGCAUUCCCUGCACAUAUUCCCAGGGAAAAGCAGAGUGUGCUCAUCCAUCACCUGCUUAAUGCCAGGGCUGGUGAUAAACAGCAACAAGGAGUUGGCAGGGUGAAAUGGGAUUGGGAUCUUCUCCCAAAACAACCCCAAGAGGUGUUUCAGAGCAGGAAGAUUUUAACAUAUUAAGGAAUUAAUAAUCAAAUUUAAUUAAUUGGAUAAUUAAUUUGAUUUUAUUUAAAUACUUAAAUAUUUAAAUAAUUAAAUAAUUUCCCUGUGCAGAGAGGAAGAGCAAACCCUUCCAUGGCACAGAUGGAAAUGCAGCAUUUCCCUGGGCUCUGUGUCCCUCCUGUGCAGGGCUCAGGGCUGGAGGCUCCCCCAGGC